AUUUGCAUUUAAAUGUUUUUUAUUUAAAAUUUAGUUCUUUACAUGUCAUUGAACUAAAAAUUAAAUCAAUAAAUAAACAUGACAAGCAGGCAAAAAUAACAAGAGUUGAAUGUUUCAAUAAUUUAUAACACAUUUUAGCAAUGAAACUUGUCCAGCUUUGUUGAAUUAAGCCUGACAAAAUCAUUUAAAGGUUGUUUUUUUUAAGUUACCUUAACGGAACUAUUAAGCUUCUGGUAAAUAUUUUAAAGUCGCUUUGGAGUGACAAAAAAAAAAAAAAAAAAAAAAAA